rnacentral:lncRNA from 1 species
GACACAGUCGUGUGGUGAGGAAGUCCCAGAGGACCGUGGGACUUAGUGGUCGGGCCUGUGGGUCUCGGUCCAGUGGCAGUGUUGGCAAACACGGCCAGGGGCAGAAAGGGACUUAGUGGGGACUGACAGAGGGAUAUUGGGGAAGGCUAUCCCCCUUGUCGGUGGGCAUCCUAAGGAUGCUAAGGAGUGGAUCUGAGAUGACCACUCACGGAUGGUAUGCCUAGUCUUGGGGAGCCAAGACUGUGAUGCAAGUGGUAUUGGACUACCAGUGUGGCAAAGGUGAUUGGGCAUGGCCUUAGCGUAACGGGCUGCUAUGUCGGUGGUACCUUUGAGUGUCGGUCAUGGGAUCGGACACGUGGAGCACUUGGACCAAGUGCAAAUGUUGAGUGGCAUGGAUGCCAUUCUCGGGGCUAGCAAGUCCCAAGUCCUGGAUUGGACUUAUGGAGGUUGUGAAUGAGACUCCUCCAAGUGGUC